rnacentral:lncRNA from 10 species
GCAGUUAUCCUGCCUCAGCCUCCUGAGUAGCUGGGAUUACAGGCGCGCACCACCACGCCCGGCUAAUUUUUGUUUCCUGGUAAUAGGAAGCAUUGAGCUAUUCGAGGUAGGCACUGUCCAAAAUGCUUUAUAUGUAUUUACUCAUUUAAUCCUCACAACAACGAUGAGGUAGGUUCUACUGCUAUUUCCAUUUUGCAAUUAAGGAAACAGAAACAAAGAGGGUAAGCAAGGGACAUCCAGCAGGUAAGUAAUGUGGGAGGCAAACUAAAGGAGUCUGACACUGGAAACCUGU